rnacentral:rRNA from 1 species
AGUGAACGCUGGCGGUAGGCCUAACACAUGCAAGUCGAACGGCAGCACAGUAAGAGCUUGCUCUUACGGGUGGCGAGUGGCGGACGGGUGAGGAAUACAUCGGAAUCUACUUUUUCGUGGGGGAUAACGUAGGGAAACUUACGCUAAUACCGCAUACGACCUACGGGUGAAAGCAGGGGAUCUUCGGACCUUGCGCGAUUGAAUGAGCCGAUGUCGGAUUAGCUAGUUGGCGGGGUAAAGGCCCACCAAGGCGACGAUCCGUAGCUGGUCUGAGAGGAUGAUCAGCCACACUGGAACUGAGACACGGUCCAGACUUCUACGGGGGGCAGCAGUGGGGAAUAUUGGACAAUGGGCGCAAGCCUGAUCCAGCCAUACCGCGUGGGUGAAGAAGGCCUUCGGGUUGUAAAGCCCUUUUGUUGGGAAAGAAAAGCAGCAGGUUAAUACCCCGCUGUUCUGACGGUACCCAAAGAAUAAGCACCGGCUAACUUCG